CAGCAGCCGCGGUAACACGGAGGGUGCAAGCGUUAAUCGGAAUUACUGGGCGUAAAGCGCACGCAGGCGGUCUGACAAGUCAGAUGUGAAAUCCCCGGGCUUAACCUGGGAACUGCAUUUGAAACUGUCAGGCUGGAGUCUUGUAGAGGGGGGUGGAAUUCCAGGUGUAGCGGUGAAAUGCGUAGAGAUCUGGAGGAAUACCGGUGGCGAAGGCGGCCCCCUGGACAAAGACUGACGCUCAGGUGCGAAAGCGUGGGGAGCAAACAGGAUUAGAUACCCGCGUAGUCCCUGUCUCUUAUAC
rnacentral:rRNA from 1 species